CNUGCAGUCGANCGAUGAAGCCUUUCGGGGUGGAUUAGUGGCGAACGGGUGAGUAACACGUGGGCAAUCUGCCCUUCACUCUGGGACAAGCCCUGGAAACGGGGUCUAAUACCGGAUAUGACACACGACCGCAUGGUCUGUGUGUGGAAAGCUCCGGCGGUGAAGGAUGAGCCCGCGGCCUAUCAGCUUGUUGGUGGGGUAAUGGCCUACCAAGGCGACGACGGGUAGCCGGCCUGAGAGGGCGACCGGCCACACUGGGACUGAGACACGGCCCAGACUCCUACGGGAGGCAGCAGUGGGGAAUAUUGCACAAUGGGCGAAAGCCUGAUGCAGCGACGCCGCGUGAGGGAUGACGGCCUUCGGGUUGUAAACCUCUUUCAGCAGGGAAGAAGCGAGAGUGACGGUACCUGCAGAAGAAGCGCCGGCUAACUACGUGCCAGCAGCCGCGGUAAUACGUAGGGCGCAAGCGUUGUCCGGAAUUAUUGGGCGUAAAGAGCUCGUAGGCGGCUUGUCACGUCGGAUGUGAAAGCCCGGGGCUUAACCCCGGGUCUGCAUUCGAUACGGGCAGGCUAGAGUGCGGUAGGGGAGAUCGGAAUUCCUGGUGUAGCGGUGAAAUGCGCAGAUAUCAGGAGGAACACCGGUGGCGAAGGCGGAUCUCUGGGCCNUNACUGACGCUGAGGAGCGAAAGCGUGGGGAGCGAACAGGAUUAGAUACCCUGGUAGUCCACGCCGUAAACGUUGGGAACUAGGUGUUGGCGACAUUCCACGUCGUCGGUGCCGCAGCUAACGCAUUAAGUUCCCCGCCUGGGGAGUACGGCCGCAAGGCUAAAACUCAAAGGAAUUGACGGGGNCCCGCACAAGCAGCGGAGCAUGUGGCUUAAUUCGACGCAACGCGAAGAACCUUACCAAGGCUUGACAUACACCGGAAAAACCCUGGAAGACAGGGUCCCCCUU
rnacentral:rRNA from 1 species